UCUUCCCCUAGAGUCAUUGCAGGUGUGGAGGCUGUGUCACACGUGUGUCAGUAGGUGGCAGGGAGGAGAGUGGCUAUGUCUAUAUGCUCAGUAUUCUGACCUAUGAACAUCUGAAUGAUUAGUAGACUAACAUU
rnacentral:snoRNA from 1 species